rnacentral:rRNA from 1 species
AACGAACGCUAGCGGCGUGCCUAACACAUGCAAGUCGUACGAGAAAACUCCUUCGGGAGCUAUUAAAGUGGCGCACGGGUGAGUAACGCGUGGAUAAUCUACCAUAGAGACUGGAAUAGCCCACCGAAAGGUGGAUUAAUGCCGGAUAAGACCACAUGACAUAAGUCAUGAGGUAAAAGUUGGGGACCUUUCGGGGCCUAGCACUUUGUGAUGAGUCCGCGUCCCAUCAGCUUGUUGGUAAGGUAAUGGCUUACCAAGGCUAAGACGGGUAGCUGGUCUGAGAGGACGAUCAGUCACACUGGCACUGGAACACGGGCCAGACUCCUACGGGAGGCAGCAGUGGGGAAUAUUGCGCAAUGGGCGAAAGCCUGACGCAGCGACGCCGCGUGAGGGAAGAAGGUUUUAGGAUCGUAAACCUCUGUCAGGGGAGAAGAAAUGCUAGGUGGGUAAUAUCCAUUUAGUUUGACGGUAUCCCCAGAGGAAGCAUCGGCUAACUAUGUGCCAGCAGCCGCGGUAAUACAUAGGAUGCAAGCGUUGUUCGGAAUCACUGGGCGUAAAGCGCGCGUAGGUGGUCUAGCAAGUCAAUGGUGAAAUCCCUCGGCUCAACCGGGGAACUGCCCUUGAAACUGUUAGACUAGAGUAUGGGAGAGGAAAGCGGAAUUCCAGGUGUAGCGGUGAAAUGCGUAGAUAUCUGGAGGAACGCCGGCGGGCGAAGGCGGCUUUCUGGACCAAUACUGGACCUGAGGCGCGAAAGCGUGGGGAGCCAACAGGAUUAGAUACCCUGGUAGUCCACCCCCUAAACGAUGGGUACUAGGUGUGGGGGUCGUUAAGACUUCCGUGCCGCAGCUAACGUAUUAAGUACCCCGCCUGGGAAGUACGGCCGCAAGGUUGAAACUCAAAGGAAUUGACGGGGGCCCGCACAAGCGGUGGAGCAUGUGGUUUAAUUCGACGCAACGCGAAGAACCUUACCUGGGUUUGACAUCCAGAGAAUCCUUUGGAAACAUAGGAGUGCCUUCGGGAGCUCUGUGACAGGUGCUGCACGGCUGUCGUCAGCUCGUGCCGUGAGGUGUUGGGUUAAGUCCCGCAACGAGCGCAACCCCUACUUUUAGUUGCCAUCAGUUCGGCUGGGCACUCUAAUAGAACUGCCGGCGUCAAGCCGGAGGAAGGUGGGGACGACGUCAAGUCAUCAUGGCCUUUAUAUCCAGGGCUACACACGUGCUACAAUGGUCGGUACAAAAGGUCGCAAACCCGUGAGGGGGAGCUAAUCCAAAAAGCCGGCCUCAGUUGGGAUCGUAGUCUGCAACUCGACUACGUGAACUUGGAAUCGCUAGUAAUCGCGUAUCAGCAUGACGCGGUGAAUACGUUCCCGGGCCUUGUACACACCGCCCGUCACACCACGAAAGUUUGUUGUACCAGAAGUCAGUGCGCUAACCUUCGGGAGGCAGCUGCCGACGGUAUGAUAGAUGAUUGGGGU